CCAGAUGCCGGGCCUGAGGCCUGCUCGCUGCAGCGCUCAGUGGCCACUUCAGAUUCAGAUUCAAUUUUAAUUGUCAUUGUCAGUGUACAGUACAGAGACAACGAAAUGCAUUACACAGACAACGAAAUUUUCAAACCAAAGCUUCAAACUUUCGCCAAGUUGCAGACUGAAGAAGGGUCUCGUCCCGCAACGUCACCCAUCCCUUCUCUCCAGAGAUGCUGCCUGUCCCGCUGAGGUGCUCCAGUUUUUGUGUGUCUUCCGUGUAAACGAGCAUCUGCAGCUCCUUCCAACACACAUACAGCUUAGCUGAGCUGCAUGCCCAUUUUGUUUUUUAAUCAAUGUAACCAAUUACAGACACACACAGAGAAAGACAAUAAUUAUUAUUGAGUUACUCCAGCAUUUUGUGUCCAGCAUCUUUUGUGUAAACCAGCAUCUACAGUUCCACCCUACACACUUAUUAUUGGCAAUUGUCCCAGGCUGAACAGACAUGGGGGGGGAAGAAGAGGAGAGGAAGAAGCCUGUAGAAGAGUUCUGACCAGUAACAUCACCGAAUCAUGUUCUCCAGGGAUGCUGCCUGAACCGCUGAGUUAUUCCAGGACUUUGUGUCUUUUUUUAGUGUAAAUGAGCAUCUACAGUUCUUUGUUUCUACAUCUUGCCAUGGGGAGGUGCCUGAUAGCUCCAGAGGAUGGAGCGGCAAGAAAUAAGGUAGGCAGGUCGUGGAGCAAUAAGAACCAGGCCCAACUCGUCGAUGCCGACCAAGAUGCCUAAUGAUCCUGCCUGCCCUAUGCAGUCUACAAGAAACGCCUAUACCCAGAGAGUGGUGAAAUUGUGGCAGAUGCUUCAACAGGGAGUGCUGGAGGUUCUGCCGCUGGCGUUUGGGGAGAUUUUGGAAGAUGUCGCAGUUUUCCUCCUGAAGGAGCUUGAAGCCCACGGCCAGGUGGUGGUUCUCCAGCACGGACUCGUCGUUGUACAUCAGGGCCAGCUCCGAGUCUGGGGGACGACAGCACCAGAUGCUGCCUGUCCCGCUGAGUUACUCCAGCAUUCUGUGUCUAUCUUCGGUGAAAACCGGCAUCUGCAGUUCCUUCCUCCACACAGAUAACAGGACAAGCCCAGAAUAAAACAUGAUCUAUCUGUGGUGAUCACACUGCCUUGCUUGAUGAGAUGCUGCCUGAUCUGCUAAGUUACUCCAGCACUUUGUGGCCAUCUAAGGAGCAGCUGAGAUCUAGUUUCCACAGCUAAUACUCCAGAGUGGGAUUUUCGAGGGAUUCCUAUCGAGGUUGUGAUAAUGUUGCAGAGGGAGAGAAUGAGGAAAAAGAUAGCCUGGAUGAAGGUGUUGAACAUUCAACUUACCUGUGCGAAAGGUGUGACGAUAAGGUCCUCGGUAUGACUGGAAGAAAACAAACAGAGUUGACAACAUGGACCAACAAGUUGGUAACAGACCCAGAAAUCCCUCCUGACACAUCUAAUGACAGAGGCUGUGCACAGAUGAGUAAGACAGGACAGAGAUAUAGAAGCAAGCAGCAGAUAAUGCAUCUGUGAAGUACUUUGUAGAAAUCUGGGAAAAGUGAAUCUGAAGUUGGGAUAGAAAGUAAGUAAAGAUCAGCUGGGUCAGGCAGGAUCUGUGGAAAAGGAAACACAGUGAAUAUUUCUGGUCAAUGAUCCGAUGAAGGAUCACCAUACGACAUGUUUCUUCUGAGUGUCUCUCCACAGACAGUCAUUCACAUUUGAGGGAUUCCAACAUUUUCUGGUUUAUAUCAAUUUCCAGGAUCUGGAACGCAUUCGUUUCGUAAGAAAUAAAGCACUUUUGACAGGAAGCACUUGCUACAGCGAGCUUUUGAUGUAGAGCAGAGAUCUGGGAGAGAGAGCAUGAGGGCAAGGAAGAGGGCAACGCAGAAAGCGAAAGGGAUCAAGGGAGAGGUUGAGAGAGGGGGGGUGGAAGAGAGAGUGGGAAAGUGAAUGUGGGGAUGGGAUGAUGGAGUGUAACUAAAGGUGAAGAGAAGAACGAGGGAGUGGGAGAAGAGAAAAUAGGAGGGCGCGAACGUGAAGAGAGGGGUUAAAGGGACUGCAUUUCAAGAGGUUUUUGAAUGGAUGCAUGGAUAUGCAGAGCAUGGAGGGAUUUGGAUCAUAUGCAGGCAGAUAGACUAAUUUGGCACAGACAUUGCGGGCUGAAGGGCCUGUCCCUGUGCUGAACUGUUCUAUAGUUCAUGUACUGAGAAAGAGAGGGGGUGACCUCAGUGUAAGAGAGAGAGAGUGUUUAAAUAAUGUAACGUUGGGAAUUUGUACUCACACAUCACUGUUCACGGAGGAAUUUCGAGACAUUGCUUUGGGUGAGAUGUCGUAGUCGCUGUCCGACCGAUAGAGGAAUGACUCUCGGCGCUGGCUCUGGGGAUGAAUGACCAGUCCUGGACUCGCUUGUGCAUCCAUCGGACU